rnacentral:rRNA from 1 species
AUUGAACGCUGGCGGCAUGCCUUACACAUGCAAGUCGAACGGCAGCACGGGAGCAAUCCUGGUGGCGAGUGGCGAACGGGUGUGUAAUACAUCGGAACGUGCCCAGUAGUGGGGGAUAGCCCGGCGAAAGCCGGAUUAAUACCGCACGAGACCUGAGGGUGAAAGCGGGGGAUCGCAAGACCUCGCGCGAUUGGAGCGGCCGAUGUCAGAUUAGCUAGUUGGUAGGGUAAAGGCCUACCAAGGCAACGGUCUGUAGUUGGUCUGAGAGGACGACCAGCCACACUGGGACUGAGACACGGCCCAGACUCCUACGGGAGGCAGCAGUGGGGAAUUUUGGACAGUGGGCGAAAGCCUGAUCCAGCAAUGCCGCGUGCAGGAAGAAGGCCUUCGGGUUGUAAACUGCUUUUGUCAGGGAAGAAAUCUUCUGGGCUAAUACCCUGGGAGGAUGACGGUACCUGAAGAAUAAGCACCGGCUAACUACGUGCCAGCCGCCGCCGUAA